rnacentral:rRNA from 1 species
UACGGAGGAUCCAAGCGUUAUCCGGAAUCAUUGGGUUUAAAGGGUCCGUAGGCGGCUCAGUAAGUCAGUGGUGAAAUCUCCCGGCUCAACCGGGAAAUGGCCAUUGAUACUGUUGGGCUUGAAUUAUUAGGAAGUAACUAGAAUAUGUAGUGUAGCGGUGAAAUGCUUAGAGAUUACAUGGAAUACCAAUUGCGAAGGCAGGUUACUACUAAUGGAUUGACGCUGAUGGACGAAAGCGUGGGUAGCGAACAGG